rnacentral:rRNA from 1 species
UACGUAGGGGGCAAGCGUUGUCCGGAUUUAUUGGGCGUAAAGAGCGUGUAGGCGGCUGGGUAGGUCCGUUGUGAAAACUCGAGGCUCAACCUCGAGACGCCGAUGGAAACCCUCCAGCUAGAGUCCGGAAGAGGAGAGUGGAAUUCCUGGUGUAGCGGUGAAAUGUGCAGAUAUCAGGAAGAACACCCGUGGCUAAGGCGGCUCUCUAGUACGGUACUGACGCUGAGACGCGAAAGCGUGGGGAGCGAACAGG